rnacentral:misc_RNA from 1 species
GAAGAACUUAAAUGCCGAUGAAGAUGAAGAGGAAGAUGAGGCGAAAGUAGCACCAGAAAUGCGCAACGAUAAUGAAGUUGGAGACAUUUUCUACAAUGGAAUCAGUCACAUUGAUUACAUUUACCCUUCCAAUGGGGACGCAUUGCCUGUUUUAGAGUCCAAGGAGAAGAGUACUUUUGCCUUUGUAUGAUAGAGCAGGGGACUCCCUAUAGAAUAUGAAUUUUCAAUUUUUUUUUUUUCAAAUUUCCAUCAACCAACGAUUUCAAGAUCUUUUUUUUUUCAAUUUUUUUUUCUUUCUUCUUUCUUGGAAUCCUUGUUAUGAACUUAUUAUGUUUGGAUUUGUGAAAAGAGCAAGGUCUGCGUUUGCGAUCAUGUAAUAUACUUGGAGCAAUUUUAAUUUCAAAGGAAUCACAAAAAUGUUACAUGUGGAAUGAUUGAAAGUUUGAAAUGAGCUUUCUUUAUUACCUUACCAUGAAUACAUGCUCUGUUGCCAACAAUCUUGAAUAGAUAAUUCUGAUCUGUGUAAGGGACCAAAAAUGUCAAAUAAGAAUUAUUUGGCGAAUGAAUGAAAAUGGAUUACAAAGACUGCAAAAACUGCACAUUUAUCUGCAAAAGAGGAAGAGUUGAUGGGUGUUUUAUUUUUUUAGAUCUUCAUUUAUCAGCAAAAUAAAACAGCACAGCCUGAUCAUCUAGUUAAUUUGUUUUUUUUUUUUAUCAUUUGAGUGUUUUCAAUACCUAUUUUUCGGAGGUGAUUAAUGAGUGGUGAAGCAACACAGAUAAAUAUAUGAUUCUCAAAUUGUAGACCUGAAUUUGCAGAAGGCUAGAUUCUCAUGGUUGGUACUGUAGGCACCUUGUCAUUGAAAAGCAGUGAGGGCAUACAAGUGGAAUACAUAGCCAUUUUUGUUGCGGUUCUUUUUCCUGGUGCUCUGGUGGCUUUCAACUAUGAGUUGCUGCAGAUUUUAGAGCAGUUUGCUGCUCUUCGUGUGUUCUGUGCUGGCAUUUGGCAUAAUGCUGUGUGUUGUGCAGCUUGUGGACUGAUGUUAUUCCUUCUGCCCUUGAUCUUGUGUCCCUUCUACAUGCAUGGCGAUAGCCCCAUGGUUUUGGAUGUACCUUCCACUUCUCCUUUGUCGGGUUAUUUGUCUCCUGGUGAUAUGAUUGUGUCAUUGGAUGGUAAACACAUCCGCAAUGAACAAGAAUGGAUAGAGAUGACUGCCCUAAUGCAAGAACAGGCACUUCAAAGUUCAAGUCAUUCGGAAAAUUCCAAAGGUUUUGCCAUAGUUCAUAGCAGAAAAGGUUAUUGUGUUCCUACUUCUCUGAUUGAAGAAAGCAAGAAGAUUCACUUGGUAUAUAAUCAAUCAUCUUGUCCUAAUGAUCUUACUGAAUUUGUAGCCAUUCAAUGCUUUGAUUCUAGUAAAUUAGAUGACGUCAGCAAUGGAGAUGAUCAUCUGAACAAAAGAGGGAGUAGGCAUUGCUUGAGUGCUACUGAUGUUGUCAAACUUAAUAAAUGUAGUCAUGGAAGGGUUACAGAAAUAACCAAUGGAAGCAGCUGCAUUUGUUCUCAGGAUGAAACUUGUUUAAGCCCUGUCCAAUUACCUGGGUUAAUAUGGGCUGAGAUCACCUAUUCUAGCCCUUAUUCUCCAGAAUGCUUGCAAGUUGGAGGGAACUCUUUUCCACAUUCUGAAACUGCAGACUUCACUAAAGAUGGUUGUGGUGGGACUUUUGUUUUUGUUGGUGAUGCCAUCUCCAUGGCACACUCCGUUCACUUAACCGCUUAUCAACCUCGUUGGGCAUUUGCUUUCAGUGCAUAUCUUCCUAAAGUUCUAGAAAAAAGCUUAAUAUUCACAUUUCAAGUUUCUCUUACAGUAGCUCUCCUCAACAGCUUGCCGGUAUAUCUUUUGGAUGGUGAAUCUAUUUUAGAGGCAGCAUUGUGCCACUUCACCUUGCUGGGCCCAAGGAAGAGGGCAAACGUCCUACAUGCUUGUCUUUUAGGGGGAACUAUCAUUUGCGUGCUGACCUUUAUCAGGAUCUUCUUCAAUUUUUUGUAAUCAAACAGGUAAUCAAUGUCUUCAGUUUUCAAGAAAGUGGAUUUUGCCUUAUUAGAUCUAUACUUGAUUUUGGAAUUAGCACUUCAGUUCUUUUGGAAACAUAUAAACAAGAAAUACUUAAUUUUUGAGCUCAUUGGUGUGUAAUUCAACAAAUCUUGCUAAUUUUACUAGGAAUUGUCCCAAGUGUAUUGCAACUGUAGAACUCAGAUUUGAGAUCCAAAUAUUGUUAUAGAUUUAGCAAAUGCCUUCCAUAAAAUUUUAUAGUUUUAAAGCCCCGUUUGUUUUAUGGAAAAUAACUUGUAUAUAAAAGUGUUUUUCAUGGAAAAUGUUUUCUAAAAAAAUAUUU